rnacentral:misc_RNA from 1 species
AAGUCGUAACAAGGUUUCCGUAGGUGAACCUGCGGAAGGAUCAUUACUCUUAGCUUAAGUGUACAUACACUUAUUGCUAUACAAACAACACCAAUCUGUGCUCUUGCUUUUUCCAUCCCACUUAUUACUCAAUUAUUUAUUAAACUGAUCUAAUUGUGUUUCAGCUUAUCAGUAUUUACUGUUAGCUACACACAUCUGUAUUUGUAUGGCCAGUGAUUUAGUUCUCUGUGUCAUGCCAAUACUUGUUGAACCACAGUAUAGUACUGAGUGUGUAUAGUAUGUAUGUUUAGCAUAUGUAGUGUAUUCACUCUACGACUAUCAGUGAAAACAACUCCGAACAAUGGAUAUCUCGGCUCUC